ensembl:lncRNA
AUGGCAUUGUGGGCCCAUCCUGAUAAUCUGGAAUCAUCUCCACAUCUCAAAAUUCUUAAUAUAAUCACAUUUGCAAAGACCCUUUUUCCCAAUCAAGCAACAUUUACAGAUCCCAGAGGACAGAAACCGAUACCUUUGGGAAUCCUAAUUCAAACCGUUACACAAGGAGCCUUUGAGUUGCUGCCACAAACUUCAUCAGUGAAAGGGGACAGAGGGGGAAGUUAUCUUGGUUUAACAGACUUGGAAAUGACGGCCCACAAUGGCUUAGUGACAUGUCAGUGCGCUUGUUCGCUUCGGCUCCAGAACCCCUCCUGGGAUGAAACCUGGACAGCAUCCCAAGCUGCCAGCCUUCAACUGCAUUACAGCAACAGGCACUUAUCUGGCUUUGGCUGUGUCUGGUGAGGAGGAUAAGAGGAUAAUGGUUGUUGCGAGCUUCUCUGGCGCCUGGUCCAGUGGUAAGGGUUGGACACAUGUUAUCUCAUUUAUUCCUCAAGGACGAUGCCACGUGGUGAUUUAAAUGACCCUUAUUCUAAAGAUGAAGAAACUAAAUCUGAGCGCAAAGAACUCGACAUACUUCAACGUUGUCUCUCUGAUUCCCAAACUCUCUUUAAGCACUUUCUCUAGUUUCUUCGGGCAACACACCUGUUCUUGUUUGCUUGGCAGCUACACCUUGUGCUAAAUGACAGUGAUGUCAUUCUGGCGUUCUGAGCAGUCUCUUGUGAAUCUGGGCAGGCUAAAUUAGUCUGUCAGAAGCGAGUAGGUGAUCAAAUGAAGUUGCCCCAAAAUGAUAGACCCACAUGAAUGAACUGGUUCUUGGGAGGCAAGAGCCGCCUACUUCUUGCCCCCUUUUCCCUUACCUACAGGCAACUGUAGUGGGAGGUUCUGGGGGGCUAAACGCUGUGUAGGUCCCCCCCCACCCCAAGAUUUCUGCUCCCUGGUGAACACACCCUGUGUAAUUCUCUUCCCUGGUGUAUCAACAGGCCCUGUGACUAUGACAGGACAUCGCUCCUAUGAUUAAAUCGUAUACCAGAAAAAAAGAAAAGGAAACAAGCCACCAGAGACUCUUAAGGAUAGAGAACAAAUUGAGGGUUGAUGGAGGAGAGGUGGGUGGGCGACGGGCUAGAUGGGGGAUGAAUAUCGAGGCAGGCGCUCGUUGGGAUGAGCACUAGGUGUUGUAUGUAAAUGAUGAAUCACUGAAUUCUACUUCUGAAACCAAUAUUACACUGUAUAUUAACUAAAAUUUAAUUUAAACAAUUUAAAAAUAGAUUACAUGUCAGGUAAAGACAUUUUGCAGAUGUAAUUAAGACUCCAAUUCUAUUGGUUAUGAAUUAAUCCAAAGGGAGAUUAUCCUGGGUGGGCCUGACUUAAUUAGGUACAAGAGUGGACUGUUUUGAAGAGAUUUAUUCUCAAGCUCACCUUGAAGAAACAAGACGGCACUUUGUGAGAGGGCCACACAGCAAGGACUGCAGGCAUUCAGAAUCACCCCCAGCUAACAUCUAUUAAGAAAAUGGGAUCUUAGUUCUACAAUUACAAAGAACUGAUUUUUGCUAACAACCACAUGAGGUUGCAAGAGGACUCCGAUUUCUAGAAGAUACAGACUGGCCGACACGUGAAUUGCAGUUUUGUUAGACCGCGAGCAGGGGCCUCAGUUAAGCCAUGCAGGGACUCUUGACGCACUGGAACUGAGAUCAUAAAUGAGCGUUGUUUAAAACCCGAUGUUUCCAUCUUUUUUGCUACAUAGCAACAAAUAACUAAUCCAGAAUCCUCUCUCGAGGAGGGAUUUCUUAGGAUUCCCUAGGGAAAGUCCCACUGUCUGUCCUCUGCAAGUUGGAGAACCAGAAAGCCAACGGUGUUAUUUAGUCUGCGACUUUCAGAGCCCAAAGCGAUGGUGCAAGGCAGGAGAAGAUCAAGGUGUUAGCUCAAACAGAAAGCAGUCUGCUCUUCCUCCACUUUUUUUGUUCUAUUCAGUUCCUCUAACAGAUUGGAUGAUGCCCACCCAUAGUGGUGAGGGCAAUCUUUAUUCAUUCUGCUGAGUCAAGUGCUAACGUGUCCUGGAAAGGUCAAAGACACACCCAGAAAUGUUAUUACCUGCUAUCUGGACGUCCUUUAGCCCAGUAAGAUUGACAAAUAAAAUGAACCAACACGAUGGGCUUUCCUACUUC